GAUGAACGCUGGCGGCGUGCCUAAUACAUGCAAGUCGAGCGAAUGGAUUAAGAGCUUGCUCUUAUGAAGUUAGCGGCGGACGGGUGAGUAACACGUGGGUAACCUGCCCAUAAGACUGGGAUAACUCCGGGAAACCGGGGCUAAUACCGGAUAACAUUUUGAACCGCAUGGUUCGAAAUUGAAAGGCGGCUUCGGCUGUCACUUAUGGAUGGACCCGCGUCGCAUUGGCUAGUUGGUGAGGUAACGGCUCACCAAGGCAACGAUGCGUAGCCGACCGGAGAGGGUGAUCGGCCAAACGGGGACUGAGACACGGCCCAGACUCCUACGGGAGGCAGCAGUAGGGAAUCUUCCGCAAUGGACGAAAGUCUGACGGAGCAACGCCGCGUGAGUGAUGAAGGCUUUCGGGUCGUAAAACUCUGUUGUUAGGGAAGAACAAGUGCUAGUUGAAUAAGCUGGCACCUUGACGGUACCUAACCAGAAAGCCACGGCUAACUUCGUGCCAGCCGCCGCCGUAA
rnacentral:rRNA from 1 species